rnacentral:tRNA from 1 species
UAGAUAAGGAGCUGUUAGCAUUUUCAUUGUUAAUGAAAGGAAGUAUUUUUAGUACGGCUAG